rnacentral:tRNA from 1 species
GGGCCCGUAGCUCAGCCUGGAUAGAGCGGCAGCCCCCUAGGCCAAAGGUCGAGGGUUCGAAUCCCUCCGGGCCCG